rnacentral:lncRNA from 1 species
AGCUGUCUUUCUGCUUCCCUCCCAGGUCCCCCAUCUCCCAGGUCCUGGUUGCACCCUGUGGGUACCUGCUGCACCCUGGCUUGGAAGGAUGGGUAUAAGGAGGGUGAGGAAGGAAAGGAAUCUGACCGCCUCCUGUUUCAGCCCCCAGGACCUCUCAUGCAGCAACAAAGGUGAGAGAGACCACUGGAGCCUCCACCAGGCAAAGCAAGGCCCAAGAUCAUCACAGCUCCUACCACUAAGCUCCCAUCUUCUUAACACUUUCAGUGACAAAAGGGAACGUCCACACGACACGCUGUCGAGUUGAGGUGCGGAGUGGUCGAAGGGGAGCGCGGGUGCUGCCCACGUCUGUGUGGCAAGCAGCAUAGUCACUUUUCUACAUGGAACACAACUUUUACUUGAGAAAACCUCCCAAGCUGUGGUUAUUCUGACUUAAGAAUUUGGAAGCUAUUUUCUUGAGAAUCAACUAAAUGCACCUGUGGUCCUCAGGAAGUCAGUCAACUGUUGCCAAUGACGAAAAUAUUCAGACUUUGAAAGAAGCUUAGAAUUUUGGAAAACUUGUACCAUCAUGAGUUGACACAUUCCCAGCAUUUAGGGACUUUUCUCUUGAGAUCAAUGGUGAUGUUAGGGAAAUGUGAUUUUGGAUGAUGUACAACAGGUCAACGUUUGGAGGACCUACGUUUGCUCAGCGAACUAUUACUUUCAGAUAGCUCAUGUACAACGUUACAAAAUCAUAUGUGGGAAAAGGUCCAUUUAAAAUACAAGGCAGACAGUGUUUUGCUUU